UGUAAGCCAGGUUGGUUUCUAUCUUUUAAAAAAUAAAAUAUUUUAGUACGAAAGGAUUGAAUAUUUUAAUUAAAUUAAUUUAUCAUUUAUUUUGAUUAUCAUUAAAAAUUGGUAUGUAAUUUAUAAAAAAAAUUAUUUAUAAAUUUAUUUAAU
rnacentral:rRNA from 1 species